rnacentral:snRNA from 1 species
UGUAAGGGUGAUUUGGCUGUGACACAUGCAUGCCAUCCCACUGAUCACCAGGGUUGCUUUGGCUGAUCUGGUUGGCUAGGUGGGCAUCCCCUACCUCUCUCAAAGGACAACCUUCCCCAAUAGAGGAGGAACAGUCUUCUGUCAAGGAUAUAUGAGUAGCUAUGCUCCCUUGUUAGAAUCUCCAAACAAGCUCUCAAUAAGCAAACCAAAAAGCUGGGGGGUGGGGUAGCUCAGGCCUGCUUACUUCGAGCCAGGCCCCGGCU